AGAUUGUGUCUCCAGUGUUUCCUAACAGAGGGCUUUGGAUAUGAAAGACUUAAAGCUAUAAGGCUACCCAAGAUGACAAUGCCUGGAGCCCAUCGAAAGCCUUUACAUAGACCCUCUGUAGAGUAACUCUGACUGCUGAACACAACUAUGACCGUCUUCAGCUGGAAGUAGCCAGAUUGGUCUUCACCCUUUGCCCCCUCACAGUAGUUAGGGGUACUUCUUCAGAGGGGGGAAUAUUGCAGAUAGAUAUAUAUUUUAUGUGCAUUUCAGCAUAUGCAAUCAAGAAUGUGAAUUCCAACCAUGAAGAUAAUAACAAAACCUUAGAAUGGCAAAGAGAAAUUCCCUGCAAUUGUGCUUUGUUUACAGAGUUGGUGGCUUGAACUGACUUGCCAGAAAU
rnacentral:lncRNA from 1 species